rnacentral:rRNA from 1 species
UACGGAGGGGGCUAGCGUUGUUCGGAAUUACUGGGCGUAAAGCGCGCGUAGGCGGCGAUUCAAGUGACGGGUGAAAUCCCUCGGCUUAACCGAGGAACUGCCUGUCAGACUGGAUUGCUUGAGGCCGGGAGAGGCGAGUGGAAUUCCCAGUGUAGCGGUGAAAUGCGUAGAUAUUGGGAGGAACACCAGUGGCGAAGGCGGCUCGCUGGACCGGUUCUGACGCUGAGGCGCGAAAGCGUGGGGAGCAAACAGG